UACGUAGGGUGCAAGCGUUAAUCGGAAUUACUGGGCGUAAAGCGUGCGCAGGCGGUUUUGUAAGUCUGUCGUGAAAUCCCCGGGCUCAACCUGGGAAUUGCGAUGGAGACUGCAAGGCUAGAAUCUGGCAGAGGGGGGUAGAAUUCCACGUGUAGCAGUGAAAUGCGUAGAGAUGUGGAGGACACCGAUGGCGAAGGCAGCCCCCUGGGUCAAGAUUGACGCUCAUGCACGAAAGGCGUGGGGAGCAAACGAGG
rnacentral:rRNA from 1 species